rnacentral:rRNA from 1 species
CAAGUCGAGCGGCAGCGCGGGGGCAACCCUGGCGGCGAGCGGCGAACGGGUGAGGAAUGCAUCGGAACGUGUCCCGUAGAGGGGGAUAGCUCGGCGAAAGCCGGAUUAAUACCGCAUAUGCUCUACGGAGGAAAGCAGGGGACCCGCAAGGGCCUUGCGCUAUGGGAGCGGCCGAUGCCCGAUUAGCUUGUUGGUGAGGUAAAGGCUUACCAAGGCGACGAUCGGUAGCUGGUCUGAGAGGAUGAUCAGCCACACUGGGACUGAGACACGGCCCAGACUCCUACGGGAGGCAGCAGUGGGGAAUUUUGGACAAUGGGGGAAACCCUGAUCCAGCCAUGCCGCGUGAGUGAAGAAGGCCUUCGGGUUGUAAAGCUCUUUUGGCCGGGAAGAAAGGGUUCUCUUGAAUACGGGGAAUCUUUGACGGUACCGGCAGAAUAAGCACCGGCUAACUACGUGCCAGCAGCCGCGGUAAUACGUAGGGUGCGAGCGUUAAUCGGAAUUACUGGGCGUAAAGCGUGCGUAGGCGGUUCGUUAUGUCUGCUGUGAAAUCCCCGGGCUCAACCUGGGAAUGGCAGUGGAAACUGGCGGGCUUGAGUGUGGCAGAGGGGGGUGGAAUUCCGCGUGUAGCAGUGAAAUGCGUAGAGAUGCGGAGGAACACCGAUGGCGAAGGCAGCCCCCUGGGCUAACACUGACGCUGAGGCACGAAAGCGUGGGGAGCAAACAGGAUUACAUACCCUGGUAGUCCACGCCCUAAACGAUGAUCACUA